GGGUAUAUAGCUCAAGUGAUGGAGCACAUGCUUAGCAUGCGUGAGGUUCUGGGUUCAAUUCCCAGUACCUCCU
rnacentral:tRNA from 1 species